GACGAACGCUGGCGGCGUGCCUAAUACAUGCAAGUUGAGCGCUGAAGGUUGGUACUUGUACCAACUGGAUGAGCAGCGAGCGGGUGAGUAACGCGUGGGGAAUCUGCCUUUGAGCGGGGGACAACAUUUGGAAACGAAUGCUAAUACCGCAUAAAAACUUUAAACACAAGUUUUAAGUUUGAAAGAUGCAAUUGCAUCACUCAAAGAUGAUCCCGCGUUGUAUUAGCUAGUUGGUGAGGUAAAGGCUCACCAAGGCGAUGAUACAUAGCCGACCUGAGAGGGUGAUCGGCCACAUUGGGACUGAGACACGGCCCAAACUCCUACGGGAGGCAGCAGUAGGGAAUCUUCGGCAAUGGACGAAAGUCUGACCGAGCAACGCCGCGUGAGGGAAGAAGGUUUUCGGAUCGUAAAACUCUGUUGGUAGAGAAGAACGUUGGUGAGAGUGGAAAGCUCAUCAAGUGACGGUAACUACCCAGAAAGGGACGGCUAACUACGUG
rnacentral:rRNA from 1 species